CACCGCGGUUAUACGAGAGACCCAAGUCGAUGGCCCUCGGCGUAAAGAGUGGUUAGGAGACAUCCCAAAACUAAAGAUGAAUAACUUCAAAGCUGUUAUACGCUCAUGAAGUCAAGAAACUCAACUACGAAAGUGACUUUAUGGAUUCUGAACCCACGAAAGCUAUGGCA
rnacentral:rRNA from 1 species